GCCACCUGUUCUAGUUAGCUUUUUUUUGUAUUUUUUGUAUGUUUAUUUUUUAUUUUUUAUAUAUAUUUUUUUAGUAACAACAAAUCAAUACAUAAAGCACAUAUAGAUUACAAACAAUGGACAAUCGAGCUAGGGGGUACAAUAUCACCCUGUUCUAGUUAGCUAUCUAGCGUGCUCUGAACACCUGUGUGUAAGCGGAACAGGGAGGAAAUGUAGUUGGUCAACUGGAGGACAACACAGCUUGCGGAUCUGUGCACAACUUCUACAGAAAGCAGCAGAACCAAUCCCAGGUGAGGAUCCAGAUGCUCUGACCAUCUGCGUAGGAGACUGAGUGAAACUACAAGUCCAUUAAAGAAAAUGGAAUCAGCCAAGAUGGAUGGGACACUUCCAGGUGACCAUGGCAAAACCAACUGUAAUCCGGGUUGGGAAGAGGUCCGGCUGGCAUCAUCUCUCCCACUGCAAACAUCUUCCAGAGUGGAAGCCAUGGAUGAGCGAUGGGGAGGGAGAGAGAGCAGGGCCCAGAGAACAUCUGAAGGAGGAAAAAUGUCCGAGCCAAAGGACAGAAGCAGAGGGCCCAGACCAAACGGCCGGAAAGAAAGAUGAAAAAGAAGGCUCUAGCCAACGAGCAGAAGAAGGAGACAUUUCACACUCAGGUUCUAUAACUAGGAAACAGGAGAGGUGAGUCAGUCUUCAUGGUAAGAACUACCCACUCUGUGCGGUGUAAUUAUCCCAGUAGUUACCCGUUGAUAGAAUUUUUAGGAAAUGGAAGCUUGGGCAUCGUUCCCAUACUAACCUGCAUAAGCCCGAAGUCAACCCCUGCCCUGUGUCUUUGUAAUAAUGGGAUGGAAGAUAUGGGAUAUACUAGAGCUUGUUGUGUAUAUAUGGGUCAACUGAGAGAAGAAUACAGUGAUGGGAGAAGCUAUACUAAAGGGGAUUUUAGUGUGUUAGACUGACAGGUGUAAACCUUUCCAGGAUGGAGGAAGGCAUGGGAGCACCUUUUGGAUGGAUGUGGGUAUGCAGUGACAAAGGGGUACCUCACCUUACCUCCUGGAUGGGGGCGGGGGUGUUGUUAUUUGGGGAGAACAGAAAUGUACUUGUUCAGAAUUCCGGUCACUGACCUUUUCAAUGAGACCGGUUAAACCAACUCUGGGGAACUGAAGCGUGCCAAAUGACUCAUCCCAGACAAUCAGGAAGCCUAUGGUCAUGUCCUACACCCGGGUGAGAUUUUUGGUAUGUCAGUCAUACCCACCUGGGGUGUGGCUGUCCUAGGAAAGUGGGUAAAGCAAUUUAACCUACUCUUUACAGGCCCAUAUGAAUUUAACGAUCUGAGGAUUUAGCCAACUCUCAUUAGAUGUCCAAAAUCUGAAAACAGUCAUCAGCCGCCAUGAUUUGGAUUUAGAUGAUCUUUUUGUGAAGGAAGGAGGACACUGUAAUGUUCUAGGUAUUAUUGAUCCUGAACAUUGUGUUAUGCUCCUCCCUGACUCUUAGUUAAACUCUCUCAAAAUCUGAAAAAUCUGUUUUUGACAAAAUUGGUUACUGGUUUAAUGGUAAAUUUGGAAAUGUGAUGGGGAAAGUUAUGUUGACUUUGUUUUCAUUGUUUUCUCCUAUACUUGUGGGAGGUUUGGUGAUUUUGGUUACUGUUUAAAUUUGUAAGACAAUGACUAACUGCUCUUGAACAUGCAGGAGUGAUAGUGUUGGUGGAAGCUGAUAGGAACCUCAGGAGGUUCUUAUCAGGAGUUGUUUCUCCUUUUAGCAGGACAUCCCUGGGAUCAAAUGGAUCGGGGGAUUGCCAAAUCUGUUUGAUUUCAGAGGAAAAUAUUAUGAUUGAUGGUGUGAGACUCUUGGUGAGUCUCCAAGGGGGAGUGAUGGGGUCAAAUUGGGGUCAUAAUAGGGGCUGCACCAAAUGUUUGAUGUAUUAUAAUAAUUAAUUAUGCUUAUGUUUGUAUUAAUAGAAGGGUAGGGGCUAUGGGAAACCUCCUCCCCCAUAUUUAUAGGGUCCUAGACUACAGAUUAACAAUAUAUGUUCAUUGUAAGGUUUCAUUUUGUUCCACAGUCUUUUCUGGUCUCUGCCUCUUAUAAAGAAAUGGUCUGAGAGAUGUGUGAAUUAUUGCAGGGUGUCUUUGAGAAGGCACCUCUAGGCUAAAAGAGAUUAGACACAAAACUCUGCCAGGGAGUGAAAAGAGAUGAGAGACUAGUCAGACAUACCUCUAUAAAUCAACUUGGGGAGUGGACAUUUACUGCUGAGCCCUUAUAAAACACUGGAACUAUUGUAUCUCUCUUGCAAGUUUGUAUAGCUGUGUAUGCAUGGGGUUGGUCUGAUGAGUAGAAGGAAAUGACGUAUGCAGUGACAUCACUAGGGAUGGACUUCUUGCUUAAUAAAAUAACUUGGGACUUUUCCUAUUUUGCAGAACUCAGGAGAGACAUCAGUUGUAUGUGUGAUGUUUGAUCUUUGACUUUUGUAUACAGCUGUGUUUUGAUUAAAAUUGUUAUGAUUUAUAA